rnacentral:rRNA from 1 species
CGCGGCCUAUCAGCUUGUUGGUGAGGUAACGGCUCACCAAGGCGACGACGGGUAGCUGGUCUGAGAGGACGAUCAGCCACACUGGGACUGAGACACGGCCCAGACUCCUACGGGAGGCAGCAGUGGGGAAUCUUGCGCAAUGGGCGAAAGCCUGACGCAGCAACGCCGCGUGCGGGAUGAAGGCCUUCGGGUUGUAAACCGCUUUCAGUGGGGACGAAUUCAGACGGUACCCACAGAAGAAGCCCCGGCCAACUACGUGCCAGCAGCCGCGGUAACACGUAGGGGGCGAGCGUUGUCCGGAAUCAUUGGGCGUAAAGAGCUCGUAGGCGGCUCAGUAAGUCGGGUGUGAAACCCUCAGGCUCAACCUGGGGACGCCACCCGAUACUGCUGUGGCUAGAGUCCAGUAGGGGAGUGUGGAAUUCCCGGUGUAGCGGUGAAAUGCGCAGAUAUCGGGAGGAACACCAGCGGCGAAGGCGGCACUCUGGGCUGGAACUGACGCUGAGGAGCGAAAGCGUGGGUAGCAAACAGGAUUAGAUACCCUGGUAGUCCACGCCGUAAACGUUGGGCACUAGGUGUGGGGACCCUCCAACGGUUUCCGUGCCGUAGCUAACGCAUUAAGUGCCCCGCCUGGGGAGUACGG